rnacentral:lncRNA from 1 species
AGAAGGGAGCCGGGAGACAAAGCGGGGCUGGAGUGGGAGUCUACGAGUUGCAUGGGCGGAGGAACAGGAUGCUGCCAUGUACAGGGUCGGGCUGUUUGCCAGUCUAGCCUAGCAGCAGCUUCUUGAAUUGGGAAUGACUCUUACAGGAUCUCCCAGAAACAUUUUUCCUGCUGCCUGCUGAAAAAGCCAGCAGCGGCAGCUUGAGCGUUUGUGCGCAAGGCGUGUGCAAGCCCCAGCCCUCCCCUGGAAGACUCUCCCUAUCUGGGGCGUCCAACCUCUUUCAAGGCAUUCCGCUUCUGGUUCCUUCCAUCAACCUCCCUGGUGAUUCAUCUCGAAAACUGAAAAUGGCUCUCUAGACGACAUGCGAGGUGCCAGCACCGUGGACACUGCCCUCGCGGCACCUCGGGUCGCGCACUGGAUGCGUGCAAGCGGGACACGGCCAUUGGACCUUUACUAACCAGACACCUGACGUCACCUUUGUACCUUCCAUCAUUUCUUUAUGCACACCUUUGGAAAGUUACUUAAAAGUAUUUUAAACAAACACACAAAAAGGAUUUCGUUGGUAAUGCUAACCUGUUUUAUUUAAUAGACAGCAGUUCUAAUCACCGAUUGUCACAGUUUUUUAUUUUCUUUUUUAAAAACAGCAAAUACCAACACACAAUUGCGCAAAGGGGGGGCAAACAAAAUGAUCUCCACAUGGAAACUAAAUACUAAGGGAAGUUUGUCCAAGUCAUUCUUUUUAGGCGAUUGUCAAACCUAGCCUAAACAGAGCAUACAACUAACAGAGAGGGAAAUGGGGGAAUAGUUCACUAUAAAACAGUGAAAGAACAUUUUUUUAUAAAAUAUAGUUCAAUCCAAUAGCUUUUCUACAUACUGUAUACUAUAAAAAUUCUCCCACAAAAAUUAGUGUCUUUAAAUAUACAUAUAUGAAUCUGAACUGCGCCAAGAUUAAAAGUAAUUAGAAAUAACUGAUUUCUCUCUUCUUGUUUUUCCUUUCAAAACAUUAACUUCACAGUAUCAGUUUGGAGUAGAAGACAAAUCCAGUGUUUUGUUUCAGUAAAGCAGUAUUAAGGUAAAAUUCCAACUCCGGUCAAAUCAAAACCAAAACGGAGCCUAAAGGUUUCCAAUUAUGCUCUCCAUGAGACAGAGCAGCUGCUGCAUAAACAAACCAGCUUACAUGUGUGCAAUGUUUUAGUACUUUUAUGUAAAGGACCUUAAAAACCCAUGCACAGAACUAUUGCAACCUUUAAAAAACCCAAAGAACAAACAACAAAAGAACUGAAAAGUGCAAACUUUUUUUA